GCAAAGAUCACACAGAGAUUGUGGAGAUUAGAGGUAGCAAAACGAGACUUUGGUCUUGGGAUGGCUUUUCCUAUUUCUGGUAAAUACAAAAUAGCUGGUGCUCGUUGCCUCCACACACGUUACACGUAUGCUCAGCUUUUGUUCCCAUGUCAAACUCCGAAAUGCUACGUAUCUCUUCUUUUCCUUUUUGUUUGUUUAUUUUUGUUUUACCCGUUACAACGGGACGUAUUUCGAUUCUUUUCUUUAAAUGAAACGAAACUGAGUUCCAUAUGAGUAUGCAGGAGCGAAUCAAUAGAAGGGAGUAGGGGUGCACAUGCACCCAUGAUUUUUUUUUUUUUUAAAUGAAUAUUAUAUUUCUUUUGGUCACCCAUUAUUUUUUAGUCCAUUUAAUCGCUAAAAACAAUUAUGAAAAAUACACAAGUAAGAAAAAAAACUAAUUUAAAUAAAAGAAAAAGAACUUGAAGUCUUAAAACUCACUUACGUUUUCUUAUUUAAAAAAAAAACUCACUUAUAUUUUUUUUUUUAUUAAGAACCCUAACUUCUAAUAUAAUACAAUAUUUCUGUAAACUUUUAUUCAUUUGAAAUUCAGAUUGCAAUAAACUCAAAUUACGUAUUUAUAUGAUAUGGAUUUGUAAUUCAGUUUGC
rnacentral:lncRNA from 1 species